AUGAAACCUGUAAAACACUACGUGAAAUUUUUCUCCUAAUACAAUUGACAAGUAAGUGAACUGCCUUAAUUAUAUCAUUCAGUUUGAAAGUAAAGCUCAAAUACUCCAAUACUGAAUCAAAAUGAAACAUGCUUCAUCUGAAUAUUAACUAUCCUUUGUAUAUUACCAAUCAGUCCCCUUUAUUUUUGGUUGAGAGUGAUAAGAUUUUAUAAUCAGAAACACAAAGUCUGUGCCAAAUUAUACGCAAAGCAACUCCUUUACAUCAUAGUAGGAAGCUCAGGGAAUCUAACGAUCAGUCCCUUAUUACUUAAACAUGCAAAGUUCCGGAAAAUAGUAUAUUCUCUCCGUACCAUCUUUUCUUUCAUAUUUAUAUAUCUCUCCAAGGUUUGAAUGGUGUCACUGAUGUUUCUCUUUUAAAUAGAAAAUCAAGAUGUAGAAGUAAUGGAAAGAGGCCAAUUCCUGAAGAAUUGCUGGAGAUAAAUACAAAACUUUGAAGAUCUAGGACAAUAUGCUGAAUACAAGACUACUUUUAAGUCUUCUAAGAAAAAAGGGAGAAAGGUCAGAUUUAUCCCUCUACUUUAGUAAAUUAUUCACGUUUAUCCCUAGUUCUACUUUCGAUCCAAAUACAUCCCUACCGUUAAGAAAGUAAAUAAAAAUACCCCUAAUCCUAACGGUUGUCCAAUGUGACAAAGGACCCCUUCAAUAAAAAUUAUCACGUAAUUAAAUAACCCACCCCUUACCUUUCUUUCUUAAAUUUUAUUUUCAUUCAAAACUUUUAUUAUUUUUCUUUUUCUCUUUUUUCUCUCUCCUUUUCCCUACCAUAAGAAUCUCUCUUCUCCCUUGCCCUCCACCAUUACAGUGGGUAAUAAAAUUUCGCCGGAAAAAAUGGUCCAUCUUUCCUUUAGCAGUUGUCGGCGUCGCGAGAGCAACUGGUCAGCUAACCUCCAGAAAACAAUCCAUCUCUCUCCCUCCUACUAUGUCCGCCUGCAACCUACCAUAAAUAACCAACCACCACUAAAAACCAGAUCCAUCUGAACACCACUAGAAGCCACCAGAUCCCAAAACUCUUUGACCACGAUUCACCUUCAUGGAUAUGGUUGAUUUGAACAAUACUACAUAGUUUAUUAACCAAGCCACCAUUAUAGUGAGUAAUAAAAUUUCGCCAGAAAAAAAAGGUAUCUCUCUCCUUUAGCAUUAGCCGGCGCCGACGAGAUCAACUGGUCGACUAACCACGGUAAAAACAAGCACAAAUCUCUUCCUUGUUAACUCUCUGUUGGAGGAAACUAUAUGGGGCACUUCUUUACUAUGCUACUGCAAUCUCGUUUACUGUUUUUUCUGCACCGACCGUCCUCCGCCAUUGCAAAACCUCUUGUAAUUUCAUUAUUUUUGGACUUACAGACAAAACCCUUCUCUAGAAUUCUCUCAAUCACAACGGGCGCAUAAUUUUUGUUGAUAAAAUUAUUCUCGUUUGAUCUUUAAAUUAGAAGAGAAACACCUGAAAAUAGAAAGGUAGUGUUGGUAAUACCCAGGUGUUGGUACAUGAAAUAUUUGGAGAAGUAGUGAAAAUGUGCAGUAAAGAGCUCUUAUGUGGAGAGAUUUGGUAGAGACGAAGGAAUUUAUUGGGACAUUUCGUGGUGGAAAAGAUGGAGGCUAAUGUAACUGGUAUAACUGGUGGAGGGAAAGGGAUCAGAUGGUAGGGAAAAGAAAAGAGAAAAAGAAGUAAAAUAAAAAGAAUAGAGAUUUAGAGUUAAUUAUGUGGAUUAUUUAAUUAUGUGGCAUUUUUUAUUGACUAGGUCCCUUGCCACUGUGAACAUCCAUUAGGGUUGGGGAUAUAUUUAUCUAUUUUCUUAACGGUAGGGACGUAUUUGGACCGAUAGUAGAACUAGGGAAAACAUAUAUGUCGAGUCUCCCAGUUGUAAAUCCAAAGGUCCACUUCCUUUUUCAUAAUUC
rnacentral:lncRNA from 1 species